ACUGAGCGGCGGACGGGUGAGUAACGCGUGGGUAACCUGCCUCAUACAGGGGGAUAACAGUUGGAAACGGCUGCUAAUACCGCAUAAGCGCACAGUACCGCAUGGUACGGUGUGAAAAACUCCGGUGGUAUGAGAUGGACCCGCGUCUGAUUAGAUAGUAGGCGGGGUAACGGCCCACCUAGUCUUCGAUGGAUAGGGGUUCUGAGAGGAAGGUCCCCCACAUUGGAACUGAGACACGGUCCAA
rnacentral:rRNA from 1 species